GACGAACGCUGGCGGCGUGCCUAACACAUGCAAGUCGAACGGAAAACAUAGCAAUAUGUUUUUAGUGGCGAACGGGUGAGUAACGCGUAGACAACCAACCUUUUUGUGGGGGACAACACUUCGAAAGGAGUGCUAAUACCGCAUACGCUCCAGAUGCCGCCUGGUGUUUGGAGGAAAGGAGCUGUAAGGCUUCGCAAAAAGACGGGUCUGCGUCUGAUUAGCUAGUUGGAGGGGUAACGGCCCACCAAGGCGACGAUCAGUAGCCGGUCUGCGGGGAUGGACGGCCACACUGGGACUGAGACACGGCCCAGCCUCCUACGGGAGGCAGCAGUGGGGAAUCUUCCGCAAUGGACGAAAGUCUGACGGAGCGACGCCGCGUGAGUGAUGAAGGCCCUUGGGUCGUAAAGCUCUGUCAUCAGGGACGAACGGUCACGUCAGGAAAUGGGCGUGAAUUGACGGUACCUGAGAAGGAAGCCACGGCUAACUACGUGCCAGCCGCCGCCGUA
rnacentral:rRNA from 1 species